rnacentral:snoRNA from 1 species
AAAUUUAUUUUUAACCAGUAUUUUUGCCUGCCUUAAUUUUGCGAUAUCGAGACAGUCUCUCUAAGCUGGAAGAAUGUUAUAUCUAGCGAUAUGAUUGACCGACUUAAGUUCCGUUGUGAAACUAUGUGAAAAACGUUACACAGCUCUAUUGUCGUUCAUAAAUCU